UGAGAGCGCGGCGUGGGGGGAGGGGGGUAGGAAGGACUCGAAGGGCCCAUCCGCGCACUGCCUGAGCUCGGCUCGGCUGAGUGGGGGGUCAGCCUCCUGCCAGACCACUAUGCCUCACGGCCUGGCUCGCCAUCGGUCCAGCGGCGGCCGGGUCUCCGUUGCUGAGCUGGGCGUUCCCAUCGCGGCGACUGCGCGCCCCAGAACAGAUCCAGUCUCGCGCCUUCCCUGAACUCCUCACCGCACCCCUGCGUGCCUCCCGAAUCGACUUUCUGGAUGAGGCAAUGAGGUAACCAGGAGGUUCCCCGCCCCUGCGUUGGGUGACGACGCCAAGUCAGGCGCCAAGGGACUGAGCCUUGCCCCCGCGCAGCCUUGGCGCCUUGGUCUCCCUGGGCCCCGCCUCUCCAGUACCCAGGGCGAGCUCUGGGCUCAACAAGCAGCGGAGACGUCAGUCUAAAUAUCAGCUGGCAUCUCAAGGCUUUUCUGUGUCCAGGUUCUGGCUUCUCAACUUGAGUGCAAAGCCCUCCGUGCCCAGGCAAGGAGGAGACAGGAAGAUGGUAGGGAAAGCUGGGAGCAGGGCAGGGAGAGGAGGUGAGCUGAGCAUCUACUUCUUUCCCCAGGUUCUGGGACUAAUAUAAUGGGCGGCGCCUGAGAGGAGGUACAGAGGGCCAAAGCUGCUAUGAGGUGACCUGCCCUCCCCAGGACUUCCACCAGAAGUGAGCUGUCUUCAGGGCACAGGGGCAUUUCAGUGCCUGAAGUAUAGACAAGGCAUACCUGCUGGUCUCCCAGCGCCUGUGAACCACUUGCCUCCCAAACUAGCAGGAGGGCCUUGGCCUUUAUCUCCCCAGGCCAACGCAGAGAAGGGCCCUGGAGAGCAGAAAUACUUUUUUAGGCAAAAGUUUUACACAGGGUGCCCUGGGCCUGGCCUGGUUUGUGGGAGCUAUCAGAGAGCCAGAGAGACCACCUGCCUGCCUCCUGAGGCGACUCUGCUCUCAGUGAAUGCUGUCAAACUCCUGUGAGACCUCCACUCACUAUACACUUCUAUAUCUGGGUUGUAGGACUGGUGUUGGAUGCUGUAGGUGGUCGGGCCUUAGAAAUCUUUGAGUGCAACCCUAUCACAUUUGAGGGGAAAUAUUUCUCUGAAACACUUGUGUGGUCAGAAGGUCUUUGGGGAUGCUGAUGAGAUGACACAAUUUAUGCAACCUUUCUAUUUCUUGAAUCUCUCUGUGAACCCUGAGAGGGUUGAGGAAGUUCUUCCUGACAGUGAUGACGAUGAAAAAAAAUUAAAAAAGAGGAAUCACCACAUCU
rnacentral:lncRNA from 1 species